GGGCCUCUAGCUCAAUUGGCAGAGCAGUUGACUCUUAAUCAAUUGGUUCAGGGUUCGAGUCCCUGGAGGCCCACCA
rnacentral:tRNA from 4 species